rnacentral:rRNA from 1 species
UACGAACUGUGCAAACGUUAUUCGGAUUCACUGGGCUUAAAGGGUGCGUAGGCGGCCAUGUAAGUAGGGUGUGAAAUCCCCCGGCUUAACCGGGGAACUGCGCCCUAAACUGUAUGGCUGGAGUGAGAUAGGGGUGUGUGGAGCUUCCGGUGGAGCGGUGAAAUGUGUUGAUAUCGGAAGGAACGCCGGUGGCGAAAGCGACACACUGGGUCUCAACUGACGCUGAGGCACGAAAGCCAGGGGAGCGAACGGG